UUUUUGUAUUUUUAGUAGAGACGGGGUUUCACCAUGUUGACCAGGAUGGUCUCAAUCUCUUGACCUCGUGAUCCACCCGCCUCGGCCUCCCAAAGUGCUGAAAUUACAGGCGUGAGCCACCGUGCCCGGACAGUGCUGGGUUCUAAGGCGUUUACAGUGGAAAACGGUUACGAGGGAAAGUAACUUCCGUGAGAAAGUGACAGAAACGGAGGCAUUAGAUACCAGUGUGCCAUCCAACAAGGAUAACCCACUACAACUAGGACAAUGAUCUCCAUCUCACUAUCUCCUUGUCCUCUAGUCUGGGAACGCCUCACAUUGAUCACACCCUAAUGGAAGCCAGAGGGCAACGAAGCCUGUUGAUGGAGCGCUGUGAGUCAGCAGCCUCCGGGCAGAGAGAAGGUGGACGGUGGAUAAAGACUGUCACCCAGAAGAGUUAUCCCUGACAUAUUUAUUGACAAAAAAGAAUGCUCCCACUCAAGGCAUCUAGGAAAAGAAAGAUUCCAUCUGAUGUAUCUUCUAAAGAAAGAGCCAGUUGAACAUGAGGUGCAGAGAAGCCUUAAGGCAGAAGAAAGGAAAGUAAUCGCAGUCAGCAAAUGUCUCAUGUUAUGAAGUGGAAGCAUUAAGCAGAAGCUUAACCUUGCCUGGCAAGGGACCUAUGGGAAGUUUCUUACGAUUUGAAAGACUGGUGCCAUAUAUGUGCCUGCAAAGAAAGAAAAAAGUAAAGAAGAAACAGACGUGGUUAUCAAACACCCCUGUAGUCAACUGAUGUAUACAAGGGGUGUGAAAGCAACUUCUGAAAAAGCCUGUCAGAGCUUACCAUCUGGCUGUGUUUUAUUCUGGAAGUCACAAUAAAUAUUGUGAAUGCUCCUGGUCUUCCCAGUUUCCCAAAGUUCCCUGAAUUUAUGCUUUAUUAUCUACCAGGAAAAAUAGUACAGUAUUUCAAGUCAUAACUCUCCACUUACAUUAUUUAUAGUCACUUCUCAUGGCCUCUCCCUUUCGAAGAGAGUAGAUCCUGAGAAGUGUUCUUUGUUUAGGUUUGUGGAGCAACUGGUGGUGAUACAAACUGGAGAGCCUGAGAGAGGUUUUAAUUAUGGCAUAAUAAAAAUAAAAUGAAGAGAUCCAGGAAGAUCUGGAAAGGUGGCUGGAGGAGUAUUAGCAGGAGUUGGGAGUAGACAGAUGUUCAGGGAGAUGGAGAGGAUCUUUGUGGGAGGGAGAAAGAGAAAUAGAAUUUACUAAGUUAUGUCUUGUGAUGUAGGACAUGAGCCUCACCCUUCCCCUUUCCCUGGCAAUCUCGUCAUUAAUGACUAUAUCAUUCACUAGUGCUACUGAGGUAGGAUUUGCCAUCUUAUUUGGAUACUGAGAUGGAUCCAUGAAAGCAAAGUUACAUUUGGUUUAUCUUUGAAUAAUGUCACUAAUAAGAAACAUAGAUAUUGGUCAUACUAGCUGUGCACAUGCUAUAGCCGUGAUCCUCUAUGUAUAUAUCAAAUUAAGUCUUCUUUUUAUAAAGUCGAUCUCAAAUUACAACUCAAAUGUUCAUUUGUUAAUAUACUCAGUGCAUAAUAAACUGUCCCUUCUUUGUUCUCAAGCUGUGCCAAUAAAAUCUCAUUUUUGAACUUAGGGACUGUCCCAUAUAAUUGUGAUUCCCUAAGAAUAUCUUAUAUCUUCAACACAAUUACAAGUUUCUGCAUAGCUAGAAUCUUCCAUUCUCAUUAUUUUUCUCAGUGCUUAUUAUGACAAUAAAGACUUUUAUUCAUCUGAAUAUUAUUUAUCGAAUAUAACUGAUGCAUCUCAAUUCCAAUAUUAUUUGGAUGAAUUAAUGCAUGAAUAAGGGAUAUGUAAUAGCAUCAUGUACAACCCAGAAUUUUUUCUUUAAAUGCAAACACAAAGAGCAGGCUAAAAAAUGGAGCAGAACUUUUUGCAAAAUAUCCCUCACAUAGUUGGGUCAUUCUAUGAAACUCGGGAUGCUACUGAAAGCGUCUCAUGGCUGAGUAAGAAUCUUAUACAAAUGAAAUUCUCUCAAGCCCAGUAAACACUGUUGCCAGACACUUUUGCACCUCCCAGGGAUUUUCUUUAAAACAUAGACUUAUGAAGUCUUUAUAGAUAAGAGACUUAUAAAUCUUUAAAUAUUCAAAUCUUCAUUUAUACAUUUUUCUAUUAUUGUGUUCUAAAAGAUUUAAAUAAAAAAUGAGAUAAUUAACAAUUGAUACUAUCUUUCUUAUGUCCAAGUUUUUAAUAGCAAAAACCUUCUCUCUAUACAGCACUUUCUAAUUCCUAUAGGUUCAGUUCUCAAGUGAAUUUUUCUCUGGAUGGUGGGACAUGUAAAUGAACUGUUUGUGUAUGUUUUAAGAAUUUUUCGCAAUGACAUGGCUAUGAAAAUGCAUGGAAUAUUUAAAUAACUAAAGUCAUUUCCUGAGAAUUAUUUCUUUUUGGUUGAGAUAUUGUGUACUCUGACUUAUAAACAUUUCCCUUUAAAAUGGUUUCAGUUUUGUUUCUGAUGGGGUCCUAGGAUUUAUUCCAAUACCCACCCUGUACAAGGUUUUUUUUUUUUUUUUUUUUUUUAUUUACUCACCUUACAGUUUCUGUAUCAUAUAGAGCGUACAAUGGCAACCUGGUUAUCACAACGCUCAAAAAGACAAAACUAAUUUUUUAGAGCUAUUGUUGUUUUCCCUCUCUGAAGACCUGAGAGAGAUGUCAAUCUUCUUUGCUACUUCUCUGGGCCCUUUUAAUGGACUCAACAGCCCCUCAUGGACUUCACACAGAACCUCUAUAUCAGCUCAUCAAUAUUCUUCCAUCUUGAGUCUAGACUUCUGUCCUCCAGAUGAUGUCAGAGUUACAGCCCCAGAUCCUAUCUGCAUGUGGCCUGGAUUUAGGACCAGAGCCUGUGAGCAUCUGCCUGCUUUCAUGUCUCUGGAUUUUAUUUUUCUCAUAACUUCUGAAAAGUAGAGAUGUGCCUUUCUUCUUUUCAGUUUCAGCUAUGUGUUUCCAAAUUUUUCAAAAUGCACUCCACAUUUCCAUAUAUUAAGAGUAGGAGAGUGACAUUAAAUUGAACUUACUCUGUCAUUCUACAGGCACACUGGAGACCCAGUUUACUAACUAUAAAUUGGAGUCCAUUACCUGGGUAUUUCAGACACCUGAACCUCACCAUGUUCCAGAUUUCACUCCUUAUUGUUAGUAAUUUUGCUGUAAUCUCAAUGACAUGAAAUGGAAUUAAAUCCAGUGAGUGGUUUUAUUAAUCAGAGGUUGGGCUUAUGGUGGCUGAUAGCUAUAGAUCAGUAAGUCCUUCUUCCUCUUGUGGUCCUUGAUAUAAAGUAAACUUUGCUUCCUUAUGAGAGGUAUCUAUGCUGCAGUGAACCGUGAGGAUAGUUUAGCAAACACCACAGUAGUAGCUUCUGCCUAUAAUACUCUUUACCAAGGUAUUCACUGGCAGCCUCUUCUGCCUCAUUCUGGUUUCAGUUCAAAUGCCACAUCCACAUGGAAUUCUGUCUGGAACACCCAAUAAAAAUUGUUUUCUGCCUUAUCCCAUUUUUCCCUUGAUUCAUUUAUUUUUAAAUUGCGUUUCUCAUUUAUAAGAUUCGUGUGCUUAGAACAGUGCCCGAAACAUAGUGUGAUUUCAACACAUAUUUGUGAAUUGCAUGGAUCUAAUAUUUUCUUCCCAGGAAUAAAUCUGACCUUUAUGUAAACUACUAAGUAUAUGUGGCACUUUCCAUUUGCUUGCAAAGUCACUGUGAAACCAGUAAUUGAAUUAAAUUAAUUACUUUGCAAAGUGUUUGGAGAAACCAAGGAUAUGAGAGCUGGUAUGUAAAAUAAAAUACUUUCCAUUCUGCAUAUAUCACGGCAUUUUACAAAUAAAUUAUUAAAACAUUGUAGGUCAGUGACCACAAUGGCAGAGAGCAAAGCUACCACCUGGUCUAAUGUAGCUCACCCAAAGCAAAGGUUUUAUAGAAAGGUGAAAUAUUGCACAAGGCAUUCAAGUCUCCUGGCUCCCCUAUCCAAAAAUUGCCACAAAAUCUGACGUUUACACACCAAUCCCUGACCAAUGUCUUGACUUGGAAUAUUAAUGAGAUAAUAACUUCCCAGCUGGGAAGGCUCUCUAAUAGUAAUUCUCAAUAAUGUGUUUUUGGUUGUCUAAACUUGGGUAUAGAAAAAUAAUCAGUACACACGAGGGCUAGAAAGUAAAAAAUUUCUGAUGUACCUGUAUGUCACAACUAGUGACAAUUUUGAUCAUUUGUAAAUUAAUGCUGAUGGGUUUCGAAAUUCUAGUCAUAUUCACUAGACAGUUUUUUUGUUUAUUUGCUUUUUGAGAUGGAGUCUCAUUCUGUCGCCCAGGCUGGAGUGCAAUGGUGCAAUCUCAGCUCACUGCAACCAUUGCCUCCUGGGUUCCAUUGAUUCUCCUGCCUCAGCCUUUUGAGUAGCUGGGACUAUGUGCACACCACCACACCUGCCUAACUAUUGUAUUUCUAGUAGAGACUAAGUUUCACCAUGUUGGUCAGGCUGGUCUUGAACUCCUGACCUCAAGUGAUCUGUCAACCUUGGCCUCCCAAAGUGCUAGGAUCACAGGCAAGAGCCACAGUGCCAGGCCCAGCAGUUAGAUGGUUUUGUGAUUGUUUUCUAUCUAUGUAUGUCUCAUUAGACUUACCUCAAGGUAGGUGACUGUCUUUUUCACCCUAUGCUUCAUAAAUGAACCAGUGUGUCAUACAGAGUAAGUUCUUAGUAAUAGCAGCUGCUGUUUCUACUAAUUCACCCCAUCGUUCACUUCUCCCAGCUUGAAGCAGAGCUUCUAUGUAACUUACAAACCCAGGACAACAAAGGUUGGGAAAAAGUGAAGUGACAAGUGAUGCAGGAAGGAAGGAAAGGCAACACAGGCUGGUACACUGUUAAGCUUCUCAAGUAAACACAGCCAGUUGUACUGUCACAAGGGAUAUCUCUAGGGACGCCCUCAUGGAUGGAACGAAAGCAAAUUCGAGAAGCAUAUCAACAAUUUUUGGUAUAGUUGUACUUAGCUAUGCCCUUUUUCUGUUUGUUUUCAUUUUUCUGUUUCUCCUUUACUGUCUUUUCUUUGGUAUUAAUUGAAUACAUUAAAUAUUCCAUAUUUAUUUUUU